rnacentral:tRNA from 1 species
GCCUGUAUGGCUCAGUCGGUUAAGCGUCCAACUUCUGCUCAGGUCAUGAUUUCACAGUUUGUGAGUUCGAGUCCCACUUCGGGCU